UAUCGCCCAGCCCUACCCGAGUAGGAUGGGUUCCUCGGACUGAGUCUUGGUUCCUUCCAAGGUUUCUUCCUCUUAAAGGGAGUUUUUCCUUGCCACUGUGUCACCAUAAAAUUGGCAUCUCUGUGGUGCUGCUCAUAAGAGGCGUGGACCUGUUUUUCCUGUAAAGCGGCUUUGUGACAACCUUUGUUGUAAAAAGCGCUAUAUAAAUAAAAUUGAAUUGAAUUGAAUUGAAUAUACGUUAUUAUUACUAUUACCAGGCCUCAACCUUGUUUUUCUUUCUCGAGAGCGCCAGCCCUGAUAACAGUUCAAUGAGUGACCGAAUCACUGAGUGAACGAGAGCACCAGCCCUGAUAACAGUUCAGUGAGUGAAGGAAUCACUGAGCAUUGAGCAAGUUUCCUCGCAAUUAGAGUCUCCGCCACCAGAUUCGCCGGUGAUUCAGUGAUUCACAGACCACACAGCAGUUCCCCUGCCGGCCUGUGGGGUCGCUGCUGAGCUUAACUACUGAACUGAGAAAUUAACGAAUCAGCUGGGGAAGUGAUUGGAUUCAGUUCGUUCACUCAAAUGAUUCAUGAACGACACAACACUAAUUUUUCGGCGUGGUUGCGGCCUACAGCAACCUGUGUUCUAAGUUGAGUCAAUAAAGCGACUUAAACUGCCUACUCGGUCCUUCUUUCAGAGUCCAGGCGGACGCUACAAUAUAUUUAAAACCCCUUCAGUCCAGUAACAGCUGUGUUUAUUUGUUUUUUAAAGUCACUGGUUAGCACUGGUUGAUCUCAGUUCAUAAUAUUGCAGCAAAUAUCCAGCACAACAAACCCAGCUUUAAACCCAAACCAUCGCUGUAUAAACAGAGACAGAGGAGAAGUUUUCUUUCAGAAACAGCGAGGGUUACCUGCGUGUUUACUAAUCCGUUACUCGUUCGUGCUGGCGUUAAGAUCAUUUGCAUGUUAGGUGGAUUUACAGGGCUAACGUGUAUUUAUCUUAUUAAUCUUUAGUGAUAGCAGGUAAAAUCUUGGCAAUGAAAGCUAUAUGAGUCUCGUGGCUCGAGUUUAUGGGGCGUUUGGGGACAGUAGAACCAAAACAGCUUAGCUAUGUAAGUUAGUUUGCUAACUUACGGAGCUACUUCAUGACGCAGAUUAGUCCAUUCAUCAUUAAAUUAUCAUACAGUGCAAAGAACAAAUGCUGUGUUCAGAUGAUGUGGUAAACUAUUCAUCUACAUGUUGUUCUUUCUUAGCUAUUCAUGUGAUUUUCUCUAUCAUUAACAGGGUGGUGAGCUUCCUGAGGGCUUUGAGGAUAGUUAUCCUGGUGCGUGUCUUUCGUCUGGCCUCUCAGAAGAAAGAUCUGGAGAAGGUCACUAGAAGAAAGGUAUCUGAGAACAAAAGGCGGUAACAAAAAGGAUGGAUUUGAUUUGGAUCUCACCUAUGUCACAGGCACUCUACAGAAAUCCCAUAAAAGAAGCUGCCAUAUUUCUGGACACAAAGCAUCCCGAUCAUUACAGAGUUUACAAUCUCUGCAGUCAAAAAGGCUACGAUCCACUGUUCUUCCAUUACAGAGUGCAACGAGUGAUGAUUGACGACCAUAACGUACCGUCAUUAGACCAACCCACUCGUUAGGACUCCCCCUAUCACUAGUAAUGCCCCAACACACCAGGAGGAUGAAGACUAGCACACUCUUUCUCCGAUACAUGUGAAGUCAGCCACCGCUUCUUUUCGAGCUGCUGCUGAUGCAGCAUUGCCAAGCAGCCAGCACAUUUGGAGGAAAGCGCAGCGGCAGGUGAAGUGCGUAAUAUGGACAGUGUGCGCUUUGCACUUGUGCAACUUUUUUUUAAAAACAGUUUGAUUUGUUUCUGCUAUAUUUUGAUUCAUAGCUUUAUAUAAAAUGAAAAUAACUUAUAACUAUAUUAUUUUCUUUAGCCCGAGGAACCUGAGGAAAGUGGUGGGAAAUCUCGAGCCAGGUCAGACCUUGGGUUGGGUUUGGGCAGAGAACCUAAGCUCUUAUUCACAUAUUGAACUUUGUGUUAUUGUGUUCUCAGUGACAUGUUGAACUACACUGCCAGUUUGAGGGAAUGUCAUUGCCAUCCACUGCAAAGGAGGCAAAGGUGUGGGAAAGGGCAAUGGCAGUGAUCUGAAGGUGCGGAUCAUAGUGAAAAGAGAGCAGGUGUUCCAGUGUGUCUGUGCCACGCAGACGAACUGUAGGCUGUUCCCAGAUACUGAAAACAAUGCCGUGGUGAUCAGCUUUCAGGAAGGGCCAGUGGUUUGUGGUGAUGUUAAGGUCAUGUUUGAAUCCAGGGCUGGUCUUCCAAAGGGGUAUGAGGACUAUCCUUUCUAUUUCUGGUUCAACACUUCAUUUGUAGAGAACAACAGGCUCUAUCUGUCAAGGGAGGAACUGGACAACCCACGUAAGUCCAAAACCUGGGACAUCUACAAGGAGGACUUUGGUGUGACCGUGUCUUUCAGUGACCCUGCACUUAUGUAGCAGACGACACUUGCUUGUGUAUCUCAACUAAAACCCUUAAGCCCUGCACAAGGUCUAAAUCUUUGCUCUAAUGUCGGUUUUCACACACUUAUAAAAGGUGAGUGAUGUUUAGGGAUUGGAUUCGGGCAUAUUGUGCCCCUAAAGCUAUAGCUAUAUAACCUCAACUUUAUGUCCAUAACCCAUCUUCACUGUAAGAGCUUUUUACUGAGCCGUGCAUACAUCACAAUAUUAUGCAUUUGUUUGUCAAAUGUUUUUUUGUCUUUAAAUGAAGACAAAUGUUUGUGUCAGUUUAGCAUAUUAUGCUUCCAAAAUGUAAAUCUUACUCUUUAAGCUUGAGUGUACAUCAAAUAAAGCAAUCGAGGCUGCCACUGUGAAAUGGUCAAUGGUUAUGUGUGCAGAAACAUUUUUUUGUAGUACACAUGUAUUGAAAUAAAUACGAAUGUCUCUGUAA